rnacentral:rRNA from 1 species
GUGGGGAAUUUUGGACAAUGGGCGCAAGCCUGAUCCAGCCAUGCCGCGUGCAGGAUGAAGGCCUUCGGGUUGUAAACUGCUUUUGUCAGGGAAGAAAUCUUCUGGGCUAAUACCCCGGGAGGAUGACGGUACCUGAAGAAUAAGCACCGGCUAACUACGUGCCAGCAGCCGCGGUAAUACGUAGGGUGCGAGCGUUAAUCGGAAUUACUGGGCGUAAAGCGUGCGCAGGCGGCUUUGCAAGACAGAUGUGAAAUCCCCGGGCUCAACCUGGGAACUGCAUUUGUGACUGCAAGGCUAGAGUACGGCAGAGGGGGAUGGAAUUCCGCGUGUAGCAGUGAAAUGCGUAGAUAUGCGGAGGAACACCAAUGGCGAAGGCAAUCCCCUGGGCCUGUACUGACGCUCAUGCACGAAAGCGUGGGGAGCAAACAGGAUUAGAAACCCCGGUAGUCC